GACAAAUGUUAGUCAUUAUGAACGACACUGCAAUUGAGAACUAUACACUACCUUAUAUUUUUACACCUUAUUACUGUCCUUUAUCCUCUACCAUAGAACCAAAAGUCAACAACGACACACACACACCUAUUCCGUCCACAUGUGUUAAUACAACUGCCUUCUUACAAGCUGUACAUGUGUCAUUAAAAAUCACUACUCCUGUUGUAACAUUAUGUAACACAACAAACAAAGGCAGAAAAGGGAAUGGUAUGACACACUGUUAGGAGGUGCUGGAACCACUAUGGGUAUACUAAAUAGUUAUAGAUAUGGAGACCCUCAAGAAUAAGUUAAACACAGCCAGCAUGCAUAUAGGGACUGGUUUUCAUGCUACUGCAAAUUGGGCUCCAAUUGUUGUUAAAUCACAGGUUAUAGGGUUGGAUUUAGAUAAAUCAAUGUAUAAUUAUUUAGGUAAUUUAACUGUUGCAACUAUGAAAUUCACUACAGGUCUAAGUAAUUGGAGUACUUGUGCCAUCAGGUAUUUAUGGAUACAACAACAAGGAUUGGCAUUAGAAAACACACUAAUGAUUCCUAAACUAGAG